GAGUGAGUGGCGGACGGGUGAGUAACACGUGGGUAACCUGCCCUAAAGUGGGGGAUAACAUUUGGAAACAGAUGCUAAUACCGCAUAAAACCUAACACCGCAUGGUGUAGGGUUGAAAGAUGGUUUCGGCUAUCACUUUAGGAUGGACCCGCGGUGCAUUAGUUAGUUGGUGAGGUAAAGGCUCACCAAGACCGUGAUGCAUAGCCGACCUGAGAGGGUAAUCGGCCACACUGGGACUGAGACACGGCCCAGACUCCUACGGAGGCAGCAGUAGGGAAUCUUCCACAAUGGACGAAAGUCUGAUGGAGCAACGCCGCGUGAGUGAAGAAGGUUUUCGGAUCGUAAACUCUGUUGUUGGAGAAGAAUGUAUCUGAUAGUAACUGAUCAGGUAGUGACGGUAUCCAACCAGAAAGCCACGGCUAACUACGUG
rnacentral:rRNA from 1 species